AACGAACGUUGGCGGCGUGGAUUAGGCAUGCAAGUCGAACGAAACCCAGUGGGGGUAACUCUGCUGGGGGAAGUGGCGAAAGGGGCAGUAAGGCGUGGGUAACCUACCCUGGGGACCAGGACAUACGGGUAACACCGGUAAAUACUGGGCGAUGCAGCGAGAGCGCAUGUUCUUGCUGUGAGAUGAAUUUCGCCUCGGGACGGGCUCACGUGGUAUUAGCUAGUUGGUGGGGUAACGGCCUACCAAGGCGAAGAUGCCUAGCAGGUGUGAGAGCACGACCUGCGCCACUGGCACUGAGACACUGGCCAGACUCCUACGGGAGGCUGCAGUCGAGGAUCUUCGGCAAUGGGCGCAAGCCUGACCGAGCGACGCCGCGUGUGCGACGAAGGCCUUCGGGUUGUAAAGCACUUUAGUGGGGGAGGAAAGCCGCAAGGCCUGACCUAUCCCAAGAAUAAGCACGGGCUAAGUUCGUGCCAGCAGCCGCCGUAAUAC
rnacentral:rRNA from 1 species